UACGUAGGGUGCGAGCGUUAAUCGGAAUUACUGGGCGUAAAGCGUGCGCAGGCGGUUUUGUAAGCCAGAUGUGAAAUCCCCGGGCUUAACCUGGGAAUGGCAUUUGGGACUGCAAGGCUUGAGUGCGGCAGAGGAGACUGGAAUUCCUGGUGUAGCAGUGAAAUGCGUAGAUAUCAGGAGGAACACCGAUGGCGAAGGCAGGUCUCUGGGCAGUAACUGACGCUGAGGAGCGAAAGCGUGGGGAGCGAACAGG
rnacentral:rRNA from 1 species